GAGGGGCGGGCGGGGCGGGGCUCUGUCCCGCGGCGAUGGCGGAGGGGCCGGACGCUGUGCGGAGCAGCGUGAGGGCGCUGAACUCGCGUCUGGGCCGCGCGGAGGAGCCCGCGGAGAUUCUAAAAGCACUUGAGGUACUACAGGAUUUGGAUAUAUCACUGGAUAUUCUUAUGGAAACUGGCAUAGGCAAAACAGUUAACAGUUUUAGGAAACAUGCCACUGCUGGGAAUGUAGCAAAAUCCCUGGUAAAGAAAUGGAAGAAGCUUGUUCCUCCAGAAAAUAAAACCGGUCACAGAGGAAGAAAACAAAAUCCUGAAAAAGAUGAGACGAAAUCUUCAGUUUGCAAAGAAGUUAAGCCUUCAGAGAAGUCCAAAACAUCUGUACUGGCCUCCCAGAGUUCCGGUAGCUCAUCCGUAUCUAGAAAGUUGAACAAGCAACAUAACUGUAUUGAAAAAAAGCACCAAAAUAGAGACUCUGAGUCUCAAAAAGAACAUGAUAAUAAAAAAUGUCAUGGCAGUGCUUCUAAACAUACUUGCCAGGAGACCAGUCCUCAAGCUAAAGAAGGUGACUGUAAAGAAAGAGCCUCCAAGGACAGCAAGGGAGAUCCAGAAAAGCAGCGUUCCUUUGUAGCCGGUAAGGACUCCUUCCCCAAGAAGGAGAAGCCUAAGGAUGCUUCCAAACAGAGAGAUCCUAAGGUUGUGACGAAAUUGAAAGAAAAACUUACUGUGAGAAGCAAAGCUGAAUUACCUGGUGAUGAAGAAUUUGAGCCCCCUACAAUGUCUUUUGAAUCUUACCUUAAUUAUGAUCAGGUUACAAAAAAGAGAAAGAGGAAAGCUUGUCCUGCAGGUGGACGUCCAGAGAAGUGCAGUGAACAGAAGAACAGCUCAUUACUGAAAAAGGCUUCAACAUUUUCUCAUGCAAAUGAGGGAAGAGAAAAGGUACACAACUCUGAAGAUGAUCAGUCAGAAACUCCCAGCAAAAAGGCCAAGGUGGCAUCCCUCCAAGAUCUUCUUAAUACUCCACUGCCUAAAUUUCUGCCAGGCAUCUUAAUCUCGUCUCCCCCAUAUGCUGCUGACUUUAAAGAGCCUGUUGUGGAAGCACCCCAGCAAGUCAGUGAGAUAGUUCAAUUCACAGGACGGAGACUGAACUCCAAGAUGCAAGUCUACUCUGGCUCUAAACCAGUCUGUCUUUCAAAGAUGCUUACACUAUACGAGCUGUGCAUCCGUGUUCUUCAAAAUAACAUCGACUUGCUGCAUGAAGUAGGAGGUGUUCCCUUUGAGAUCCUUGAGCCUGUGCUAACACGUUGCACACCAGAGCAGUUGUUUCGAGUAGAGGAAUGUAAUCCGACGUUUACAGAAGAGUCUGACCACUUGUGGAAGAAACACUGCCAGAGGGAUUUUAAAAACGAAAGCCUCCUGGAAUAUGAGUGUUGGCGGGAAAUGUACUUGAGACUUUUCAAUGAGAGAGAAGAAAAACUGAAGAUGCUUACAAAAAACAUUCUUUCAGCUCAGUCUGAGAAACCGAAAGGCCGGCAAGUAAAAAUGGCUUAUGUGACUGGUGCAGCAAAACCACCCAGGAACAUUCGCCGACAGCAGGGAAUCCGUGGAACAGUGGGAUCUGUCACCCAACUUCACCCCACAGAGAAGUGGAAAAAAAGGUCUCCAGAAAGCAGAGAUGGAAACAAUAAUUCAUCAAAUCUGAACUCUACUAGCAACAGUGGAAGCUCUAGCUCAAAUGGAAUGACUCAAGAUGGAAAGAAGCCUAUUAAAAAAAUUGGACCAAUCAUGAAGAAAACUUUAAAAGCAUUGAAGAGUAGAGCUGCACGACGAUAAAAUGAGGAUGUGCACGGGAAGCUUAUGAGAAUAUUUGUAUAUCGUGCUACAGUUGAUGGAAGUAAAAUUAAUGUAAACUUCCCAGUUUAUCUUUGCUAAAAUAGUUGUCAUAUGCUGCAGGAGCAAAUGAUUUGCACUAAAAAAGAAACAUGGGCUCCAUUUAUACUGCCACUUCCUUAUUCAUAAAUGAGGAAAACCGAACUGAAAUAAGCUCCCAUUCCUUACUGUUUGCAAGAUGGUGGACCUUACAGAAGAGAAGAUGCUGCUUGCUGAAGCCUGCAGAAGCAGGAAUAUGAGCUGUUCGGGCAGAAACAGAGGAGCAAGCUGCUGCCUGCCUCUGGGAGAACGAAGCAGUCUCUUCUGCAGAAGGCGUGAAAGCUGCUGAGACGUGGCAGGGGAGGUGAUCUCUCUCUUCAAGAUGCUGACCUCUGAGGGGAAAAAGCUGAAACCUUGUCCUCCUGCUACCCUGCUCCUUACAGUUCCAAAGUUUAUUUUUCACAAUGAGGCACUUUUCCUCCUUACAGCUCUUUACAACAUGCAGUACUUUCUCUGCUUUUCUCUCCCACAGGUGUGCUCUAGCCAACUCUCUGCAGAGCACAUCUCCCAUAGUUACCCAUGUUGGUAUGCUUUUCAGUGCUUUCAGACCCUUCAGGCUGGAAGUUAGACAAUUAGUAUGUCUGAAACUCAGAUAAACACUAAAGUGGUGCAUUAAAGUGUGAGUUCUCAGAGCAUUAGUGUUAUGCUGGAUUGGGGCUGACAGCUGAAUUCUGGCUUUCAGCAUUUAGAAAAUCAAGGGGAGAAUGAAAUGCUGUGUAAAAGUCCCAGGGGUUUGAGCACAAAGCAGCUUCUGCAGGUUUCUAGAAAGCCUCAGCUAGUGCUGCUGAGUGGUGAACAAUGCUGACCCCAAGCAGAGUGAAAAUCCUUGGUGCAGUUCUGAAACUGGGGUAAAUACAGCAAUGACCUCUUUACAGCAAGGAGCUGGGAGCCCUGUGCCAUGAGGUUUUGUUGUUAUCUGGGUGUUCAUCACCCAGGUAAUCAAGUGGGUGGUAUUUCAAAUCCUGUCUUUAUUAGGGGAUGUGGCAUCAUUAGGAGGCUGGCAGCCAUACUGAUCUUUGUUGUUAUAGGGAAAUGAUCUUGUGCUUUAAGGAAGGGAGGAAUACCUGAGGAGAUAAGGCUUACCUUGCCUCUCAGAAUUCCCCGUCCACUCUUUGGCCUAAUGAACUGGGGUGAUGUAUGUAGGUCACUCAAAAAGUAACGCUUCCUACUUAUUUCCAUGGAAAGUGCUAUUGAUAAUAAUAAUAGUAACACUGUUUGAUAGAGCAAAUUCUCAACUACAAAAUGCUAUUUCUCAACAUAGUCACCACAGUUAGCUGUGCAUUUUCAGCAGUGAUGAACUGCAGUGUGAGCCCUGCCUGAGUAGCAAAAAGCACAUCUCUUUGGCCUGCCUGACAAGAGGGGCUUAGGGAAAAGCUUCCUCAACAAAGCCUCAUACUGGCUCUACUGUUGAGUUAUUUAAUCAUUCAGUGUUAUCAAAACUUUCAGUGCUGUAAUGACAGUGUGUCUUGAUUAUAAUCCGUAUCUACAGUUUUGUGGAAGAGCUCAUGCAUCAUGAGUUAAGCAUUUGUCUCAGUUGUUUGAGUAAGACUGAGCUAUAUUUUGCAUUUAAGUAAACACUGAAAACAGUAUAAUUUUCUCCAAAUUAUGGCACUUACAGCACAGAGAGAGUUUUCUGAGAAAAAAUCAAGUAUGUGACAGACUGUGUUUUUGGUGCUGCUGUGACUGGCAAAGUGUUUUUCAUUCCUCAUGGUUCCUGGUAGUUGUUAUAACCCACUGAGAUGCUGAGCUUGCAUGGGAAAGGGCAACCAUUUGCCCUGCCAAUGUUCUCCUGACUCUGAACAGGAAACUUCAUUCUUUAUCCAUCGUUUAUGCAUCUGUUGAAUUAAACUAAAAAAAAAAAAAAAAAAAAAAGCCUUUCUUCCAUGGAAGAAUUGCUAUAAUUCUCAGAGUGACCAUUUCUAGCUGACCUGUCCCCAAGAAGAUUGGAGGCUUUUGCUUGGGGGCUGACCCUGCUCCCAAAUGCCCCACUGCCCCUUGCCUCCAUAGUGGGCUGCCUUCUCCCUCCUACUGCCUCAGGUAUUGCUGCUCACCUGAGCUUAGAGGUUGUUUGGCUUUCUUGGAGGCUAUUAUACUCUGAUUUCCAGGCAGCAAGCAUUAUGCCAGCAGGAAGUGACCACAUCACCAUAUGAGUGUGGUCCUGAGGAGGGUUAGGAGGAGGCUGAGGCCUUGCAGCCACCUCCAACUCUUCAUGAAGCCCAUCUUCUGCCUCUCCUUGUCCUUCCUGGGGCAGCAGGGCUUGCAUUGUCUCCUGCUUGAGUAUUUCAGCAGAUCUGGGUUCCUGUUUCCUCCUGAAGCUCAGCGCAGUUUGACUCUGCAGCUCCCUCCAGCAAUUACAAAAGUCAUGGUCUGGAUCAUUUCCCCGCAACAACUGCUUUAUGAGGAGGCUGGUGUGCAGCCUGCAAGUUUUUCCUCAAGAUGGAUGCCAAACCAGAAGCGUGGGCAACCUUAAAAAUCAGAGCAACAUCAGGCUAAUAGGAGAUUAAAAAUAACACUCAGUUUUUCUGGUCUCCCAUCCAACAUGCUAAUGACGCUAUUAGUGUUGCCAGCUCUCCCCAUAACACAAAGAUGUUUUACCUCAUUUCUACCCAAAGCCUGCUGUCAUUUCCAGUCUCUCCUCUGGAGCUGAAAUGUGAAUUAAUCCUUGUGGUGCCCUUACCCCCGCCCUUAUCGUUCCACCCAGCUUUGCUGUUUGUCUGUCCGCCUCUCCCAUGUGUUAUAACCCUUCCUCCUCCAGCCCUGAUGCAAUGCAGCAACAUAAUGCUACAGAAAGGAAAACCUUUGCAGAAUACCCUGGUGUAUAUUCCAUCUUUCUCAUGUUAUGCACACACAUUUUUCUUUUAUAGCCUUCUUUUUCAGGGUGUCCCCUUAGCUCCCAUGUUGAAACCAAUCCCUAUUCUGAAUCGUGAAUAAUAUUAUAAAUAUGUUUGCAGUGGCAUUUCCCUUUUGCAGAGUGCUCCUAGAGGCAGCCUCCCAGUUCAGGGACUCAGCUGCCUACUGCAUAAUGGGUCCGAAAAUAAUCAAGAUACUGUUGAUGUGCUCAAAAACAGGAUAUGUUUGCUAUCUCUGAGUGCUUGUUCAUACUUUUUCAGGCUGCUAAAUUAGUUUUCUUCACACUUUGACUGGCCAAUUUGACAUUUGGUGUGAAAUAGGUGCUUGUGUUCCCGAGCACAGAUGCUAAGCUCAAAUUCAGGCUUAGAAAGUCUGAUUUAGCAUUUGAAAAUGGGACUUUUCUUCUGAAGCCUGCAUGUGUGGGCUGAAGCGGGGCUGGAGCUGUGGGUGAAGCAUAAGGACUGAGCAUUGCCACCACCCCACCUACAACUCUGGUGCCUUUUUACAGCUUUUUAGAUAGGCUGCUUUGUUUGGGUUGUCCUCUGUGCUGUUUUAUCUAGUGGGAACGAAGAGCUUCAGAGCAGCACCAGCCAUGCUGAUGGCACAAGGCUGGUCACAGACAGCUGUAUGGAGGCCUGGUGACCUCUCCCAGAAGGCUUGGUGGCCAUGGCCUAUUCUUCUCCAGCUGCAUAGCAGUACCCAGGAGCAGAGAUCUGAGCUCACUUCAGUUGGGUACCAUAGACUCAUAGAAUGGCUUGGGCUGGGAGGGACUCCAAGGAUCACCAAGUUCCAACCCCUCUGCCACAGGCAGUGCCACCAACCUCCAGAAAUCAUGCUGGCCUGUUUUUCCUUCUUGUCCCUGUUAAACAGGAGGGUUUCUUAGAGGGAAGGUUUCCUUGAAUGCCAUGUUUGGCACCCCACAACUUGCAGGAAAUGUCACAUUUCCUUAGAGGGGAGGCAGUGGUUCCCUGAGGCAUGCUGAUCAUGCACUGCCACUUUCCACUUAGGAAAACGUAAGCACAGGAGGCUGAAGGAGAGUGACACUGCUUGCUAGAUGUGCCACCAUGCAUUUGUGUUCAGACCGUGAGGUUUGUGCUUCUCUUUGCAGGAAGCCCCACUGGCUCUCUGUGCUUUUCCUCUUUACCUGUCUGAAUGGCAAACAGCGUUGGAACAUCUCCUGCUUGCAUGAGACAACGCUUGUGGCAAAAUGGUCGUCUUGGGCCAUGCUAACAGUGGUAGUGGAUAUGGAUGAGGAAGAAACAGAGCUGGAGCCCAUCACCAGUGUUCUGAUAACAGUCCCUGGGCAAGCUGCAAGCUUUUCCUCCUGCACCAAUGGCCAUCCAUGAACAGCUGGAGCACACUGUGACUUUUGGGUGGCUUUUGGAGAUCUCAUUGGAAAAUGAGAGAUGCUGCUUUUGAUGACUGCAAGCUUGGAUAAUUGAUUUGGAGAGCUGGAAAAAAGAGGUAAAAGGUUUUACAAGCAGCAAACCCUAGACUUACAGUGAACAGAGAGGAUUUUUCUGUCCCUAGGAUGGGAACUCAGAUGCAGCUUCAGUGAAAAUCAAUAAUUGAUCUACAUCCAUUUACAGAUGCGUCAACACUUAUGCAGGCUGGGAAACCUUAUCCCCGUGUGCACAUUUUGCAUUUAAGCAGCUUGUUCUUGGGCUGCCUGUGAAUGUAUCAGCUCUCAUCACACAGGGGAUGCAGGGUCCCUUCUAGGAGCAAGCUGGGGCUCUUUCUGCUGGAUGCCAAUAAGAGGAGUGACAAGAUAAGAUGCUGAACGGCUACACAGCUUGUUAGAUAAGUGCAGAGCCCUUUAAAGCUUGAGGUGCAACCAAGAUUUACCUCUUGAAAAACAGCAGCCAUCCACAAAGGAGGUUGUACAGGCAACAGUUUUCCCUUCUGCCUCACAACAAGCAGUGUAGAUGCAACCUGUAGGGCUGAAAUCAAAAUAAAUCAUUUUCUCUCUUUUUUUGUUUUUCUUUUUAGAUUUUCUAGUAUGGACCGAGGCUUGGCAAACAUGCUGUGAUUCUCCCUGUUUGCUGCUUAGCGCCACAGAUCACAGACCAUGCUGCCACUGCAGGUUGCAUGCCUUUGUUCCCUAUACAGAGGUAAAUCUGUGCUGUGUUAUGACAAAUCCGAGAGGAAUUUCACUUUUGCUUCAUCUGGUAAAUGAGCAAGCAUCUUGUUCUGACCAGUGCUUGCAAGGAGCACAUCCCCAGGUCUCCUCUGCUCCUGGUGCUGUGCUUGUGGGAUGCCCCAUGUUUCACAGCAGAGAACAGGUCCUGGCUGCAGGAACAUGCCAAAGCCCUGCAAGGGCCCUCAGAUGUGCUGCAGGACAUCACAUGCAUUUGAAAGGCUGCUUCUGCAGGGUAGCAGCACAUAGUAGAACAAGCAGAGCCAAGCUGUCCACUUUCCUGAAAAAGAACAUCUAGUGAUGAAACACAGACUGGCUGAGGUUGGCAGGCGCCUCUGGGUGUGUCUGGCCCAACCCCUGCUCAAGCAGGGGCACCCAGAACAGGGUGCACAUCCAGGUUGAAGGUACCUACGGAGGAGACUCCACAGCCUCUAGGCAGCCUAUGCCAGUGCUUUGUCCCCCGCACAGCACAGAAAUGCUUCCUGGUGCUCAGAGUGAAUCUCCUGUGUUUAACUUUGUGCCCAUCACCUCUUGUCCUGACACUGGGCACCACAGAAAUGUACCUGGCUCUGUUCUCUUUGCACCCUCCUUUCAGGUAUUUAUAAGCAUUGAUGUGAUCCCCCUGAGCCUUCUCUUCUCCAGGCUGAGCAGUCCCCGCUCUCUCAGCUUUGUCUCACAGCCACUUUGUCUCUGUGGCCUUGGACUCCCUCCAGUACGUCAAUGCCUAUUCUGUAGUGAGGGACCCAGAACUGAGCACAGAACUCCAGAUGUGCCUUCACCAGUGCUGAGUAGAGGGGAAGGAACCUCCCUCACCCUGCUGGUGAUACCUUGCCUAAUGCAGCCCACAGCACCAUUAGCCUUCUUAGUGACAAGGGCACACUGCUGGCUUAUGUUCAACUUGGUGUCCACCCAGUUCAUGGAGAAUCUGUGGCAUUUUUAGCUGCUAAAUAUUAGACUUGUUAGGUGCAUGUACUGCUGAAUGUAUGUGAACAGAUUUUUUUUUUUUUUUGCCCAGAGGGAUCUUCUACAAAUUUCAUGGCUGUGGCAGCAAAGGGUGCAUUGGUGGUCUUUCUGCUAAGCAACCCUCUUUGCGAAAAGGACUUUUUCCAAAGCAAGUGGUGUGGAUAGCAAGAUUACUGUGUGUCUUUUCAGUGUACUGCAUACCAUAUUCUCUGGCAAACACAUUAUCAGAAACAGGUGAUCAUUUUAGCUGACGCUUUCUUGAAAAUGUCUGAAUCUGAGUCAGACUCGUGAGGUAUAAAACAUCUCUGGUGAGAUUGUAAGCAAGCAGAAACGAGAUCUCACAGAAGGCAGUGCUGGGCCAACUUGCGAUAGAGAUUAUCAGCUCUUCUCAUCAUUUGUGAUGACAGAAGGAGAAAAGGCUCCCUUUGCUUCUGAGAGAGAUUUCAAAAUGUGAAGAAAGGGGUUUUGUUUUCAGUUUGAAGUAUUUUCAGCAGAGGAAGAUGAGCAGGAAAGCACACAAAGAUCAGAAACCUUUAGCAUUUGGGUAUCACAUAUGAGGGAAGAAGACACUCAUGCAGGAUUUACCAUGUUUCUGCAGAAGCUAGAAAGUGCCAAAUAGUUUUGUUUCUGGCUUCACUUAUAUCUGUUGUGUCCUCUCAUCUUUCCCUCUUUUCAGUUUUCAUCCCUGAGAUUAAUUCAUGGUGUAGAGUAGAGUUUCCUUGGUCUCAGAAGGGUGCUGCAGGAGAUGAAGAGAAAGGAAGGCUGAGACAAAACUGCAUCAUCCAGCCACAUCUGCAUUGGACCCAACAUUGUGUGAACCACAUCUGUAUGGCUUAAGGCCAAAACCUGAAGACAUUUAAAAGAUCUUAACUAAGUGAGCCCACUAAACUGAUUUUGAGUUCAAGUAGAUGAGUGCUCAAACCUGUUCCAGUGUACCAGCAGUUCGAGCAGGUUACAAAACGUUGGUGCCUUUGAGCAUGGAUUUUAAUGGAUUUUAACUUCCUCCUCACCCAGGCAACGAUUGCCAUGAGUGGAAAGACAUCCCUAUGGAGAUGACUGAGAUGUAUUUGGAGCAUGCCUUCAUGCCCAUGCUGUUUUGACCGAGCCCAUCACCAUGCAUGGGCCAAGGGAAGCAGUGAGGACCAGGCUUUCCUUGGGUGACACAAGCAUCCAACAUAAACCAGGCAAACCCAGCUCACGCCAAAAGAACCCAGCACUGCAUGGAACAAGAUGGUGGAUGUGCAGGCAGCAGCAUUACCAGUGUCAUCCUGCCAGCUGGGGCUGCAAGGAUCGUGUGCCAGGAAGGAGACCAAGCUUUCACAUUCACUUUUGUCUAUGAGGUCUCUGGGGCAUCUGGGUGAAGCACUGAAAACUGAAAAUAUAAAUAAAUGGUAUAAAGCUUGAAUAAGAUGUUCAGAUUCAAGGUCUGUGUUUGCAUGUGAGGUGAAUAACUAGUGGUACUUCGUAGUGAGCGGUGAGUGGUAUCCACCAUCACCUCUGGUUGAUGUUGCUCCCAUGUGAAGAAUCCCACCAAUGGGCAGGAGCAAGUGUACAUUGCACAAGAGAUAUCAGUUGGAAGAAGUCACUUUUUCGGGCUUGUGUUUAACGGAAUCAUCAGAUCUUUCUCUGGUACGCAUAUUUUCAAGUUUUUGUAGUCAUCUCAUCUCUUCAUAUAAUCAAAUUAAUUUCAGUACUUUCUUAAAAUCCAUCACAGUCUUUAUUGAGCACACUGGUAUCUGGAGAAACCUUCUCCAGUAGGAAGGCUGAUGAUGGCCUGACAGCAGUUCCUUGUCUUUGGGAGUUUGUGAAAGGUAUGCCAGAGUCCUACUCCAGCUCAUUCUGCUUUGUUUUUACUUUCUGAUGGCCUGCAGAGCAUUUGAUGUGUGUCCAUAAACUUCCUAAUUCACCACAGUAUGUCUGUUUGCCAACAUUUACUUGACCUGAAUUCUGUUGAUAACAUUUGUUUGUGACAAUUUUAACGCAGGUUGUACAGAAAGAGAUAUCUGGUUUAAUGGAUGCUGUGACCUAGACAUUCAUGCUUUACCAUUUUGUUAUCAACAGUAAGCUUGUGGGAUAUUUUUUCCCCCAAUUUAUUUAUUUUUAAUGUUAGCUAAUUAUUUUCCAACUAUAUUUUUUCUCACAACUGGAAGACUGAGCUGUUAUAUACAUGUCCUAAAUUGCUAAUUUACCUUUUGGUAUUCAGCAUAAUGUCUCUUCAGAAAGGCAUUAGCAUCUAAAGUCAGUUAUGCUUCUCAUUGGUCUGCUGCGUAACACCUAGUCACUCACUGCAUUCAGUCGUCUGCUGUUAACUGCAAUUGUUACUGCGAUGAGGCAGAAAAAAUAUGUUACCUGGUGCAGCUGCUCACUACAAUUUUUCUAUUGGGCAUUCUAAAUACAUUCUGGUUAUGUUUCCUAUAUCCUUGGUCUGAUUCAUUAAAUAAGUCACUUUCGUA